CCACCUCCCCGGUGCGGGGGGUCUCCGUCUCGGGGGGCCCCGACACCAUCGUGCAGUGCGUGAGGCAGAUCUGCGCCGUCAUCCUGGAGUCGCCUCCAAAGGGGGCCACCAUCCCCUAUCACCCUGGUCUCUCCCUGGGCACCAUCCUGCUCUCUGCCAACCAGGGCUUCUCCAUGCACGGCCAGUACGGCGGCGUCUCU